CUUCCCUGGUGGCGCAGUGGUUGAGAGUCCGCCUGCCGAUGCAGGGGACACAGGUUCAUGACCCGGUCCGGGAAGAUCCCACAUGCCGCGGAGUGGCUGGGCCCGUGAGCCAUGGCCACUGAGCCUGUGCGUCCGGAGCCUGUGCUCCGCAACGGGAGAGGCCACAACAGUGAGAGGCCCGCGUAUGGCAAAAAAAAAAAAAAGAAAAAGAAAAAAGAUUGAGGUAGGUUUGGAAAUUGGGGGAAGCUAAGAGAAGACAUGGAAAAACGUGCUAAGAGAAGACAUGGAAAAAUAUUUAAAAUGUGUGCGCUUUGCCCUAAACAGUUGGGAGAUAAGGGCCCCAACCAGAGAGUGAGACUGGAAUGAGAAGGUGCCCCAGGGGGUGAGCGCUCCAGGAAACCCACAGACACUCGGCCCCUUUUUCCCAAGUCAGGAAAACCACACGCCCACGUGGCUCCUGGUGUUCUCUCUUCUCCCGCCUGUGUGCAGCGGCCCGACCGCAGCUGCAGCUUGCGAAGCCCGGGCACGAAGCCAAGCUAGCCUCAGGUCAAGGCUCUUUGCGAGCGCAAAUGGAAACGGUACCCGGGGCGCGGUUCUCAGGUCGGAGGCUUCCCCUUUAGUCCCGCUCGGCUGCAGCUGACCACAGCCGUGUCUGAGGGGCAUCCUCGGCUACUUUGCAUCUCCCUUGAGAUCCAGGUAUUCAACCCGGGUCCGGGGCAUCGCAGACGCCGCAUCCUAUUUCCACCAUCGCGAGCCCGGCCUUCUGGGAGUGGAGAUCUCCCAUCCCCCUCUCCCCUCUUGCUCGGUAGAAUCCCUGAGCCUUGGCGAAACUACAAAGCCCAGAAGCCCUAAGGCUCACGCGCUAUCUUCUGGGAGUAGUAGUUCUGGAUGCCGGACACUCCUAGCGGCCUGGCGCAGGCUGGACUCCAUAUCCCAGCAUGCCCAGGGGCGUGAAGGAGGAGGUGGGAGGGGACAGACCAGGAGGAUGUGAAUGGGGAGGGGGCAGUUGCCCCCCUGCCCCCACCCUUCCCUUCCAGCCGGCCUGGGGUGGGGGGAGGGGCCGGGCUGAGGCGGCGGCGGCUCGGCUGCUCGCUUGGGGAGGGCACGGCGGGCAAGGGCGGGACUGGCCCGCUGCGGGAGGACUGGGGAGCCGCGGAGAUAACGGGUCCAGACGCUGGCGGCGGCGGCGGCUUUCUCUGCACUGGCGGAGGCGGCAGCAGGAGCGGCGAGUAUGGCCCGCGCGGCGCUCGGCGCUGAGUGAGAGUCAUGCUGCGGCAGCCUGGCGCCUGACGAGUGAGGGGAACCUGCCAGGGGAUUACUGCUAGCUCAAGGCAGGACAGAGGUCUCAGGGGAGCGGAGAUGGGCAGAGCAGCCUCCAAGCCUGGGCCAGCAGCACCAAGACGGAGGCCUGGGCCCUGGCCUAGAGCUCGGCUCACACUUGCUCAGCUGACCCUGAUGGCGUUCGAAGCAACACCCUGCUGAGAAGCGGCUGUUCCCAGGCCCCAGAGGACCUCAGAGCAGGAGCUGGAGUUUGACCACCCCUACACAACUGCAGUUGGGGCUGCGACCGUCGGGGGAAGGGGCUGGCGCCUCGGAUGGGAAGUAGAAGGGCAGAACCUAACGCCAGGAGGAUCUUGGUCUCUGAAGAGUUUUCUGGAACCCACGGAGCUUCCUGGGUUUCUUCUCUUUGGAUUGGGGCUUGGUUCCCUCUCCUCCCCUGGCAGAGGGGUUGGGCCCUGAGGGCCAACUGAGAGAGGGAAGACUCUUAAAUGAAAUUCAGGCUGCCUGAAGCCCACGUGCUCUCUGCUAUGAUUGGGGUUCAAGGGCUUCCCUGCUGCAGGGGACGAGGGGCCACCUCGGCAUCUGCUCAUGAGCCACAAGGACCCCGAAUGCUCCAGACUGGAUCGUUUCAAGCCGCCAAAGAGGGGGACCCCCACAGCUGGCAGCCAGCAACCCCAAGGGACUAGAGGGCUGGGAUGGACUGACCUCCCCCUUGCCAGGGCUCUGGGAGAAGCAGAGCCUCUGUGGCCCAGCUAGUGACGGAGAGACCCAAUGAAGCCAUAAGCAGGGCCAGGCGGCUCAGGGACAGGGGAGCCACUGUUGCCGACGUGCUUUCUCCUGACGCUGAGGGAGGGCGUGGUGUGGGACCUCUGCCCCUGUCCCCUCCCUGGCACUUGCCCAUAUGCCCUUUGCGUGUGGUGCCAGAGCAAGCAGGCUACGCUGGCCCAUCAGCGGGCUGGGAAAGGAGUGGCCACGGUGACACCUGCCUGACUGCCGGGCUGAGGCCCCA
rnacentral:lncRNA from 1 species